rnacentral:rRNA from 1 species
GACGAACCGUGCGAACGUUGUUCGGAAUCACUGGGCUUAAAGGGCGCGUAGGCGGGUUCGCAAGUCAGGGGUGAAAUCUUUCAGCUUAACUGGAAAACAGCCCCUGAUACUGCGAGUCUCGAGGGAGGUAGGGGCAUGUGGAACUUCCGGUGGAGCGGUGAAAUGCGUAGAUAUCGGAAGGAACGCCGGUGGCGAAAGCGACGUGCUGGACCUCUUCUGACGCUGAGGCACGAAGGCCAGGGGAGCAAACGGG